AUUGAACGCUGGCGGCAUGCUUUACACAUGCAAGUCGAACGGCAGCGCGGGCUUCGGCCUGGCGGCGAGUGGCGAACGGGUGAGUAAUACAUCGGAACGUGCCCAGUAGUGGGGGAUAGCUCGGCGAAAGCCGGAUUAAUACCGCAUACGACCUGAGGGUGAAAGCGGGGGUUCUUCGGACCUCGCGCUUUGGGAGGGGCCGAUGGCAGAUUAGCUAGUUGGUGGGGUAAAGGCCUACCAAGGUGACGAUCUGUAGCUGGUCUGAGAGGACGACCAGCCACACUGGGACUGAGACACGGCCCAGACUCCUACGGGAGGCAGCAGUGGGGAAUUUUGGACAAUGGGCGAAAGCCUGAUCCAGCAAUGCCGCGUGUGUGAUGAAGGCCUUCGGGUUGUAAAGCACUUUUGGCGGGAACGAAAAGGACUGUGCCAAUACCACGGUUCGAUGACGGUACCCGCAGAAUAAGCACCGGCUAACUACGUG
rnacentral:rRNA from 1 species